AGUGAACGCUGGCGGUAGGCCUAACACAUGCAAGUCGAACGGCAGCACAGUAAGAGCUUGCUCUUACGGGUGGCGAGUGGCGGACGGGUGAGGAAUAAAUCGGAAUCUACUUUUUCGUGGGGGAUAACGUAGGGAAACUUACGCUAAUACCGCAUACGACCUACGGGUGAAAGCAGGGGAUCUUCGGACCUUGCGCGAUUGAAUGAGCCGAUGUCGGAUUAGCUAGUUGGCGGGGUAAAGGCCCACCAAGGCGACGAUCCGUAGCUGGUCUGAGAGGAUGAUCAGCCACACUGGAACUGAGACACGGUCCAGACUCCUACGGGAGGCAGCAGUGGGGAAUAUUGGACAAUGGGCGCAAGCCUGAUCCAGCCAUACCGCGUGGGUGAAGAAGGCCUUCGGGUUGUAAAGCCCUUUUGUUGGGAAAGAAAAUCAGCAGGUUAAUACCCCGCUGUUCUGACGGUACCCAAAGAAUAAGCACCGGCUAACUUCGUG
rnacentral:rRNA from 1 species